AUCGUCAGCCGUAAAACAAUAUUUAAAUACGAUGGAAGUUCAAGCCUCGAAUACUCAAAAGUCUGAUUAAUUUGAUCUAAUGUGGGCAAAGAGCAGUGCCAUUCUCCUUGAAAAUAUUAAACAGAAAAGUUGUACACUGGAUUUGCUGUAACUGGAAGGGCAUGCUCAACCACGGAUUAAAUUUAUCGGUCGACCCAUUCAAAGAAUCAAGUUCGAGGUCGCAGGUGAGAGGAGCAGGUCCGUGAAAAGAGCGCAGAUGAAUUUUGUUUGAAGAUUAUGCUUAAGGAAAUUGCAUCGUUGUUUGAGAAUCUCUCGGUUUUGAAGCUAGAACAUUCGCAAGUAUGGAACCGCCAUCCCUUUUAAGAUCACUCAACUAAUGGAAAGGAAGAAAUCGCAGUAAAUUAAGGUUGUCAAAAGAUUGAGAUCCGCUGUUUACCGUCAUCAAGGAAAUCGUGGGUUUGACAAUGAAAGUCGUCACUGGUGAGCGGGACUGUGAAAAUCGACAGGGAAUACAAAAUUGCAUGAUGAAAUCGCCAAGGUAAAAGAAACAACUAUUUUUCAAAUCAUGCAUCUAAUGUUAUGGGUGGAGAUGAAAGACAAAUAAUUCCAAGUUUUUGCUGCCUAAACAUUGACUAGCAGAUUGGUUUGGGUCUAUGUGCCUGCGUAAUGAAGUUUGUGCAUUUGAUCCAUGUUAAUCUUGGAUGCUCUUCUUAUGAAUUAGUUUUGAAACAUUAGAUAUUUCACUUUGAAAAUUUAAUACUUUUAUUGCCAUUAUUCUCUUGAAAUUAGAUAUCUAUUUUCAAAUUUUAUUCAGAGUGUUAAGACGAUUAUCGUU